rnacentral:lncRNA from 1 species
UCUACGGCAGCUGGAAACCAAGUGAGAAAUGUAAGUUUUCAUGGCCUGGCUCAAGGUACUGCAAGAGGAGGUGUCCCUUCUGCAAGAAUUGCUGCGUAUAAAGUUUGCAACGGGACAAAAUGUUAUGCAGAUGUUAUCUUGACUGCUUUUGAUGACGCUAUUGCUGAUGGAGCUGAUGUUAUAUCAAUUUCCAUAGGAGGGAACAGUGCAUUUGCUUUUACUGAUGAUCCUAUUGCAACUGACGCAUUUUAUGCAAUGACAACAGGAAUUACAACAGUACAGUCUGCUGGAAAUUCUGGUCCGGACAGAUUUUCAGUAGUAAGUGUGGCACCAUGGAUUCUUUCUGUUGCAGCAGCCACCACUUGAUCAUUCAUUCAUUGAUAAAGUUGUUCUUGGAAAUGGAAAGACUUUAGUAGUAUGUAUCAAUAAAUCUCUUCCUUCUUAACCUGUGUAAUUUUCUGCAGACUGUACUUCAUUUUUGUGGAACUAUAUUCACCUUCCUAAUUAUAUAUGUUAAUGAUUGUUUCAAUACAAACAGAGUAAACCAAUUAACUCUCUUAGUCUACAAGGAGUAAAAUAUCCCUUGAUACAUGGGAAAAAUGUAACCAAGAACUGCUCUGCUGAAAGUGGAAAGUAAGUCAUAUUUAGGUGUUAUUAUAUCAUUUCAAAGAGCUUUUCUUGACGGUGAAGUAAGAAUCUUUCAUUUUUUUCACGUUUCAGGAUGUGCAGUGAAGGAUGUGUGAACAGUGCUUUAGUGAAGGGAAAAAUUGUGCUGUGUGAUACAGAGGAGGGAUCCUUCGUUGCUCGUAGAGCUGGAGGUGUGGGAUCAAUACUUGUUGACCUGAAUUCUGAGAAGGUUUCCGACAUAUACUCUUUACCGGUAUCAGUUUUACUACCUGAUGACUAUGAAAGAGUCAAGACAUACCUAAAAGCAGCAAAGUAGAGAUGUUAAUACCGGGUGUCAUUUGUAGAUUUUACUUGCUANNNNNNNNNNNNNNNNNNNNNNNNNNNNNNNNNNNNNNNNNNNNNNNNNNNNNNNNNNNNNNNNNNNNNNNNNNNNNNNNNNNNNNNNNNNNNNNNNNNNNNNNNNNNNNNNNNNNNNNNNNNNNNNNNNNNNNNNNNNNNNNNNNNNNNNNNNNNNNNNNNNNNNNNNNNNNNNNNNNNNNNNNNNNNNNNNNNNNNNNNNNNNNNNNNNNNNNNNNNNNNNNNNNNNNNNNNNNNNNNNNNNNNNNNNNNNNNNNNNNNNNNNNNNNNNNNNNNNNNNNNNNNNNNNNNNNNNNNNNNNNNNNNNNNNNNNNNNNNNNNNNNNNNNNNNNNNNNNNNNNNNNNNNNNNNNNNNNNNNNNNNNNNNNUUUGUUUGCCAAUUCAUGGUUCUUGCUCAACAAGUUACUAAUAUUUUCCCUUUUUCUUGUAGCUUGGAAAAUGACACCUUUCAAAAAUGCUGAUGCUGAAUUUGCUUACGGAUCUGGACAUAUCAAUUCUUUACAAGCUGUUGAUCCCGGCCUAAUAUACGAAGGUGGUAAAGAGGAUUAUAUAAAAAUUUUUUAUUCUUCGGGCUACAAUUUGAGUCAGAUCAAACAAUUAGCAGGAGACAAUAGCACUUGUCCUAAAAGGGCUGAUCAUGAGUCAUUAGUCAGUAGUCUAAACUAUCCUUCAAUGACUAUCAAGAUUGCUGAACCAUGAAAGCCAUUUAGGAUAGUUUUUCAUCAAACUGGCACAGAUGUUGGCUGCACAAACACCAUUUAUAAAGCACUCAUCUCCUCAUAUCCAAAUGUUAAUUUCAAAGUGGUGCCUCGAGUUCUCUCUUUCAAGGUUAAGGUUUCUGCAAAAGAAAUUGAAAAAGCCAAAGUCUGAAUCUUUGGUCUGGGUCGAUAAUUUCGGUCACAAAGUAAGGAGUCCGAUUGUUGUGUACUGAAUUUUAUAAAAGGGUUGCCACAAAUAAUUUUUAUUAAAAAUAAAAUUAAAAUUAAUGGGUUAGUAUUUAUUUUCUUUAAAUCCAUGCUUUCGUUGAGUAACUACAAAAUCAAUUAGAGUGCUACUUAAGCAUUAUAAUUAAUAGUAACUAUAAUUUUUUCUCAUACUAAGAGUGUUUUAAUUAGGUAACAGUAAAAAUUAUAAUUAUUAUAAUAGUGCAAUUUUAAUAUAGAAUUCAAGUAGAUAUUUUUAGUUUCAGUAAAAUUUUAAUUUUAUCAUUUUAGUUUUAGUCAAAUUUUUAAUUACAUAUAUACUGGAAUUACGACAAGUAAAACAAUUUUAGUUUGAUUAUUAAUACAACUGGAACAAAUCAGUUUUAAUUUUAAUAAAACUUGUAGCUAUAUUAAUGGGAAUUUUCGUAACAAAAUACAUGACAUUCGUGCUUCUUUGUUUCAUGGUUGGGUCGUGUUUGAACUUUGUGAAAUUUGCUCUGAACUCGACCAGUUAUUAUUCCUAGUGAACUCUACCUUGUAACAUAUUGUACAAAUACACAUCAUAAAUGAAAUCACAACUUUUGAUAGAAAAGAAAUAACAAUAUACCUGAAAAUUUAUGUAGUCAAAGUUCAAAAUGGUGUUUGGUAAAUUUGCAAGAGAUAAAAAUUCCAUCAGAAAUAAAACAUAUUCCUAUUUGGUUAGGGUAUUUGUUCAAAUCCUCCUUUAAAUACAUAGAAUCCUUAAAUAAAUGGAAAAAAUAAUGAAAUAUUAGAGUAAUUCAGUUUGCUGGUCUGUAUACAUAAGACCAAGACCAAGACCAUUUUAUAACCCAUUAGUUAAUAGGUUAAUGUGAAUGACUUGACUUGACUUUGUCAAAUUGGGUAUGAGGAAUGAUAUUCUGAUCAACCCAGAAUGUCAUAAAUUGGCUUUGUAAAAUUUACUAAUAAAUUUUUAUUACUUUUGGAAACAUAACAUUUUCUCUAUUAACAGUUUUAAGUAUCUCAUUUAAUUUUAUGAAUAUAAUGAUGAAAAGCUUAUGUAUUCAAGUCAAUUAACUUGAUAUAAAAAUUUCUGGGAAUUAAAUUUUUUCCAUUAUGUUUUCGGAUUAUUCAACCUUGUUCGAAUCUUUGCAGGAUAUCCCUUGUACUAAUUACUUUCUGCAUUCAUGGUUUAUAAUCCAAUUAAAAAAUUUUUAAGCAAGUUUUUCCUUGUAUCUUCUCCAGCUUAACUUCUUAAAAUUGAAGUUUUCAUAUUGGAUGAAUCAUUAGAAAAGGAAACAAGUUAACCAUGAACAUCAAGAUAAAUACCAAUCAAUCACUACACUUCUGCACAAUCAACAUUCAAGAAUGGCUAAGCAAGGGUUUGUCCUGUUUUCCUACCUUCUCUCUGUUCUACUACUCUGUAUUAGCCUAUCUUGUGAUGCCACCAAUGAGGAGAGAAAGGUAAAUGUGUAUUGUAUUUUUUUUUUCUGAUGUUGUUGAUAAUGGAUGACCUUACAAGGACUAAUAUUGGUGGUGGUGGUAAUGAUAAUGAUUUAGGCCUAUAUUGUGUACAUGGGAUCACUUCCUAAUGGCCAGUACUUUCCUGCAGCUCAUCAUGUUACCAUGCUUCAAGAUGUUGUUGGGGCCAGGUGAAAUUCUGGAACUUAUGUCCAUGCAGGCUUGUGAUUAUUCACCUAGAUAUAUAUAUAUAUAUAUAUGUAUGUACAAACAUUAGGUGACUCUUCUCAAUAUCAUAUUAUAUUGGGUUAGAAUCUAGAUGGUAUAAGAGCUAAUUUCUUGAUGUUUCAUAGUUUGGUCUUAUUUGUGAUUGACUGCUUACUGGGUUAGAGUUGUUAGGAGAUGUAAUGCCACAUUAACCAAAUAUGAGGAUUUGUAGUGGUUUACAUUGUUGUUUCUUUAAUUUUACAUUUUAAUGUUUUUCUGUCUUUUGCUAGCUUUGAAGAAAAUCUAUUGAUUCGAAGUUACAGAAGGAGUUUCAAUGGAUUUUCAGCCAUGAUCACUGAUUCUGAGAGAAAGAAGCUGGCCGGUGAGUGUUGCAAAUGCCUUUCUGUGUAAGAAAAUUCAAAAACAUGAUUGAAUCAUGGGCGACGACAGUGUGUAUAACAUUUACAUUUAAACUUUGAUCUUUGCAGCAAUGGAAGGAGUAGUCUCAGUUUUUCCAAGUAGAAUUUAUCAGCUCCACACAACAAGAUCUUGGGGCUUCAUGGGGUUCAACGAGACUACUGAUCAGAAGCUCCGCGAUCCAAAAAAGGAGAGUGAAGUUAUUGUCGGUGUUAUUGACACUGGAAUCUGGCCUGAAUCAGAAAGCUUCAGUAAUGGAAAUCUUGGUCCAGCUCCAGCGAAGUGGAAGGGUGCAUGUAAAGGUGGAAGCAACUUUACUUGCAACAAGUGAGUUUGACUCCUGUAUUUUCUGAAGUAAAUUAAUUGAUUUUUCGAAGUUUGGAACUUUUUGUGAGGUUAAUUCUGUCUUACAGCAAGCUUAUUGGAGCACGGUAUUAUACUACAGAUUCUGCAAGGGAUAGUGUUGGCCACGGAUCUCAUACUGCAUCUACAGCAGCAGGGAAUGCAGUAAAGGAUGUUCGUUUUUAUGGACUGGCUCAAGGUACUGCAACAGGAGGGGUUCCCUUUUCCAGGAUUGCUGUAUAUAAAGUUUGUGAUGAAGGAGGGUGUAACUCACAGGCCAUCUUGGCUGCUUUCGACGAUGCUAUUGCUGAUGGAAUUGAUGUCAUAUCAAUUUCAAUGGGACCAGCUAGUCCAACUGACCUGAUUGAAGAUCCUAUCUCCAUUGGUGCUUUUCAUGCAAUGGCAAAUGGAAUUUUGACAGUACAGUCAGCAGGAAAUUCUGGUCCAGCCAGUUUUUCAGUGGUUAGCACAGCGCCAUGGAUUCUUACUGUUGCAGCAAGCACCAUUGAUCGUGCAUUCAUUGACAAAGUUAUUCUUGGAAAUGGAGAGACUUUAGUUGUAUGUAUCUACAAAUCUCUUCCUUAUUGACUUUUCUGUAAACUGUACCUUUUUGUUUGUUUUCAGCUUCCUUAUGUUAAUGAUUGGCAUACUACAAACAGGGCAAAUCAAUUAAUUCUUUUAGUCUAAAAGGAGAAAAAUAUCCUUUGAUCUAUGGAAAAGAUGUCAGUUCGAACUGUUCUGCUGAGUCUGCAGGGUAGGUAUUUAGAUAGAUCAUUUCAACUUCAGGGCUAGUUGAUUGCUAUUAGUAUGCUAAUUAAUUAUGAAACUUUAACUUCUGAUAAAUUUCAGGAUGUGCGAGGAAGGAUGCUUGGAUAGUGAUUUAGUUAAGGGCAAAAUUGUUGUCUGUGAUCAGACGGGAUUUGCUGUUGUUCAGAAAGCUGGAGGUGUGGGAGCAGUUCUUAAAGAUUCGAUAGUAUCUGAGAAUGUUACAUCGGUUGUUUCAUUACCAGCAUCAGCUUUAGUACCUGAUGACUACGAAAAAGUCAAGUCAUAUCUUCAAACAACUGGGUAUGGAUAGAAAUACUGCUUGCCAUUUAUGUAUUUACUUUCUAGCUUUCCUUCAUAUAAGUCAUUCAUGAACCAUAUUUUAUAGGCCUGUAGUGGAAAUAUUGAAAAGUGAGACCAGAGAAGAUACAAAUGCUCCUGUUGUGGUUUACUUUUCUUCGCGUGGGCCAAAUUCAAUUGCUGAAGACAUUUUAAAGGUAGUUACCAUCUAUAGUCUCUACCUCUCAGAGAUCUCAUACCUUCAUUCUUCUAUAUUGGAGUUUUAUUGAUUUGAACCUUCGAUGCAAUGCAGCCAGACUUAACCGCUCCGGGGGUAAAUAUCUUAGCUGCUUUUUCACCUUUUGCUUCACCCUCAGGUGAUUCUUCAGAUAAUCGUCGUGUAAAUUACAAUCUAUUGUCUGGCACCUCCAUGUCUUGCCCCCAUACUUCUGGAGUUGCUGCUUAUGUGAAAGCCGUUCACCCCGACUGGUCUCCUUCAGCCAUCAAAUCUGCUCUGAUGACAACUGGUUUUCUUCUAUCACCUAACUUCCCAAUCAGCAGAACUACAUUCUUUGGUCUAAAUUUCAGGAUUUGAUGUUUUUUGGUGGUCAAACUAAUAAUCCUUUUCGCUUUUUCUUGUAGCUUGGCAAAUGACACCAUUCAAGAACGAAGAUGCUGAGUUUGCUUAUGGAUCUGGUCAUAUCAGUCCCUUACAAUCUGCUGAUCCCGGGCUUGUAUAUGAAACUGACCAACGGGAUUACAUACAAAUGCUUUGUGACUUGGGCUAUGGUUCGAGGCUCGGACAAAUAGCAGGAGGAAAUAGCACUUGUCCUGAGAAGAAAUCAUUUGUCAGGGAUCUUAACUAUCCUUCAAUGUCUUCCAGGAAUAUCAAACCAGAAGAGCCAUUUACAAUUACUUUUCAUCGAACUGUUACAAAUGUUGGUCAUGCAAACUCUGUUUACAAUGCAACCAUCUCCUCAAAUCCAAACGUUAAUAUAUCAGUGGCGCCUCAAGUUCUCUCUUUCAAGUCUUUGAAUGAGAAAAAGUCUUUCGAAGUUACUGCUGUCGGAAAUAAUUUGGCAUCUCCAGUGUCUGAAUCUUUGGUCUGGUCUGAUGAUUUUGGUCAUAAAGUGAGGAGUCCUAUUGUUCUGUACUCAUGAUCAUGAUUAGAAUAUUUCUAGUUUCAUUAGCAACCUUAUUGCCCAUCAAGCUGCAACCUCAUACAAUAACUUCUCACAAUUUAAAACUUUGUGAUAUUCUUAAAUUGUUAAUCAAAAAGUUCGUUUUUUCUUUCCAUAUAAUUUCUCACUCCAUUUUUGAACUGCAAAAUAGCUGAAUGUGUUAUGUGGUUCUUGUUUUAUUUGCUAGUUCUGCAGUUAUAUAAAUCUUUUUCUCUUUGUUAAUUUGUUCUUUCAAGGUUAUUGGUGUUAUAUGGUGCGAUUCUUUCUCUUAGCCUAAAUUUUAAGCAACAUUAAACGUUUUGAAUUCUGUAGUUUUGGUAUGCCAGUCCCCACUGAACAGAUAUGAUAAGUGAUAGUUGAAAUCGAUAUAAUUAAGAGAUCUAGUUACAAGCUAUCAAUAACUUGAAAUUAAACUUUUGAGUGCCAAUAGCUUGGAUCCAAAAAAUUAUUAGAACAAUUUGAUUCUUGGGCUUGGGGCAUUUUGUUCUUAACAAAUUAUAUUAGAAAACUUGCCAACUUGUUGACUCCAGUUUGGUUCGAUAUAGGACUUUAUGGACAUUGGAUUCCAAUUUGUGAUUGUAAUAUGUAUCAUUGAUAAGAAUAUCAAAGAUUUAUGUGGCAAAGAUUGUGGUACUCGAAUUCUAUGUCACAAAGAUUUAUGUGGCAAAAUAAACAAUAUUCGUGCUUCUUUGUUUCAUGGUUGGGUCGUGUUUGAAUUUUGUGAAAUUUGCUCUGAACUCGACCGGCUAUUAUUCCUGGUGAACUCUACCUUGUAACAUAUUGUAUAAAUACACAUCAUAAAUGAAAUCAAAACUUUUGAUAGAAAACAAAUCACAAUACACCUAGUGAAAUUAUCUUGAAAAUUUGUAUAGUCAAAGUUCAAAAUGGUGUUUGGUAGAUUUGCAAGGGAAAAAAAAAAUCCAAUCAGAAAUAAAAGAUUUUAGCAUACUAGGAAACAUAUUCCUAUUUGGUUAGGGUAUUUGUUCAAAUCCUUCUUUAAAUACAUAGAAUCCUUAAAAAAAUGGAAAAAGUAAUGAAAUAUUAUAUUAAUUCAGUUUGCUGGUCUGUAUGUAUCAAUUUUUUGUAAAUAAUAUAUUUGACUAUUUUUUGACUUUUACAUAUUACCAAGACCAUUUUAUAACCUCUUACUUAAUUGGUUAAUGUGAAUGACUUGCCUUGACUCUGUCAAAUUAGGUAUGAGAAAUGAUAUUCUGAUCAACCCAGCAUAUCAUAAAUUGGCUUGUAAAAUUUACUAAUAAAUUUUUUUUACUUUUGGAAACCAAACAUUUUCUCUGUUAACAGUUUUAAGUAUCUCAUUUAAUUUAAUGAAUAUAAUAAUGAAAAGCUUCUGUAUUCAAGUCGAUUAACUUGAUAUAAAAAUUUCUGGGAAUUAAAAUUUUUCCAUUAUGUUUUCGGAUUAUUUAACCUUAUUUGUAUCUUUGCAGGAUAUCCCUUGUACUAAUUACUUUCUGCAUUCAUGGUUUAUCUUCCAAUUAAAAGAAUUUUUAAGCAAGUUUUUCCUUGUAUCUUCUUAACUUCUUAAAAUUGAAGUUUUCACAUUGGAUGAAUCAUUAGAAAAGGAAACAAGUUAACCAUGAACAUCAAGAUAAAUACCAAUCAAUCACUACACUUCUGCACAAUCAACAUUCAAGAAUGGCUAAGCAAGGGUUUGUCCUGUUUUCCUACCUUCUCUCUGUUCUACUACUCUGUAUUAGCCUAUCUUGUGAUGCCACCAAUGAGGAGAGAAAGGUAAGUGUGUAUCGUAUAUUUUUUUUCCUGAUGUUGUUGAUAACGGAUGACCUUACAUAGACUAAUAUUGGUGGUGGUGGUGGUAAUGAUGAUGAUUUAGGCCUAUAUUGUGUACAUGGGAUCACUUCCUAAGGGCCGCCAGUACUUUCCUGCAGCUCAUCAUGUUACCAUGCUUCAAGAUGUUGUUGGAGCCAGGUUAAAUUCUUGAAUCUUAUGUCUAUGCAGAUUUGUGAUUAUUAACCUAUAUAUAUAUAUACACAAACAUUAGCAGACUCUUCUCAAUAUCAUAUUAUAUUGGGUUAGAAUCUAAAUGGUAUAAGAGCUAAUUUCUUGAUGUUUCAUAGUUUGGUCUUAUUUGUGAUUGACUCUGGGUUAGAGUUAUUAGGAGAUGUAAUGCCACAUUAACCAAAUAUGAGGAUUUGUAGUGGUUUACAUGGUUGUUUCUUUAAUUUUACUUUUUAAUGUUUUUCUGUCUUUUGUUAGCUUUGAAGAAAAUCUAUUGAUUCGAAGUUACGGAAGGAGUUUCAAUGGAUUUUCAGCCAUGAUCACUGAUUCUGAGAGAAAGAAGCUGGCCGGUGAGUGUUGCAAAUGCCUUUCUGUGUAAGAAAAUUCAAAAACAUGAUUGAAUCAUGGGUGACGACAGUGUAUAUAACAUUUACAUUUAAACUUUGAUCUUUGCAGCAAUGGAAGGAGUAGUCUCAGUUUUUCCAAGUAGAAUUUUUCAGCUCCACACAACAAGAUCUUGGGCCUUCAUGGGGUUCAACGAGACUACUGAUCAGAAGCUCCGCGAUCCAAAAAAGGAGAGUGAGGUUAUCGUCGGUGUUAUUGACACUGGAAUCUGGCCUGAAUCAGAAAGCUUCAGUAAUGGAAAUCUUGGUCCAGCUCCAGCGAAGUGGAAGGGUGCAUGUAAAGGUGGAAGCAACUUUACUUGCAACAAGUGAGUUUGACUCCUGUAUUUUCUGAAGUAAAUUAACUGAUUUUUCGAAGUUUGGAACUUUUUAUGAAGUUAAUUCUGUCUUACAGCAAGCUUAUUGGAGUACGGUAUUACACUACAGAUUCUGCAAGGGAUAGUAUUGGCCACGGAUCUCAUACUGCAUCUACAGCAGCAGGGAACGCAGUAAAGAAUGUCAGUUUCUAUGGACUGGCUCAAGGCACUGCAACAGGAGGGGUUCCCUUUGCCAGAAUUGCUGCAUAUAAAGUUUGCGAUGAGAGUGGGUGUAGUGCACAGGCCGUCUUGGCUGCAUUUGAUGAUGCUAUUGCUGAUGGAGUUGAUCUCAUAUCAAUUUCAAUGGGACCAGCAAUUCCAAGUGACCUGACCGCAGAUCCUAUCUCCAUUGGUGCUUUUCACGCAAUGGUAAAUGGAAUUUUGACAGUACAGUCAGCAGGAAAUUCUGGUCCAGACAAUUCUUCAGUGGCUAGCACAGCACCAUGGGUUCUUACUGUUGCAGCAAGCACCAUUGAUCGUGCAUUUAUUGACAAAGUUAUUCUUGGAAAUGGAAAGACUUUAACUGUAUGUAUCAAUAAUUCUCUUCCUUAAUGAUUUUCUAUAAACUCUACCUUUUAUUUGUUUUCAGCUUCCUUGUAUUAAUGAUAGGCUUACUAAAACAGGGAAAAUCAAUUAAUUCUUUUAGUCUAAAAGGAGGAAAAUAUCCUUUGAUCUAUGGAAAAGAUGUCAGUUCGCACUGCCCUCCUGAGUCUGCAGGGUAGGUAUUUAGUGAAACCAUUUAAACUUCAGGGCUAAUUGAUUGCUAUUAGUACGCUAAUAAAAUAUGAAAUUUUAACUUCUGAUGAAUUUCAGGAUAUGCAAUGAAGGAUGUGUAGAUAGUAAUUUAGUUAAGGGAAAAAUUGUUGUCUGUGAUCUGAAGAAGGGAUUUGCUGUUGUUCAUAAAUCUGGAGGUGCGGGGGCAGUUCUUAGAGACACGAUAGUAUCUGAGAAUGUUACUUCGGUUUUCUCUUUGCCAGCAUCAGCUUUAGGACCCAAUGACUACCAAACAGUCAUGUCAUAUAUUCAAACAACCGGGUAUGGAUAGCAACACUGCUUGCCAUUUAUGUAUUUACUUUCUAGCUUUCCUUCAGAUAAGUCAUUCUUGAACCAUAUUUUACAGCCCUGUAGCAGAAAUACUGAAAAGUGAGACCAGAGAAGAUACAAAUGCUCCUGUUGUGGCUUACUUUUCUUCACGUGGGCCAAGUUUAAUUACUGAAGACAUUUUAAAGGUAGUUACCAUCUAUAGUCUAUACCUCUCAGAUUUCUCAUAUCAUCAUUCUUCUAUAUUGGAGUUUUACUGAUUUCAAGCUUUGAUGCAAUGCAGCCAGAUUUAACUGCUCCAGGGGUAAAUAUCUUAGCUGCUUUUUCACCUCUUGCUUCACCCUCUCUUGAUCCUUCAGAUAAUCGUCGUGUAAAUUACAAUCUAUUAUCUGGCACUUCCAUGUCUUGCCCCCAUACUUCUGGAGCUGCUGCUUAUGUGAAAGCCUUUCACCCUGAUUGGUCUCCUUCAGCCAUCAAAUCUGCUUUAAUGACAACUGGUUUUCUUCUAUUUCUUAACUUUCCAAUCUACAGAACUACAUUAUUCUUUGUAAAUUUCAGGAUUUGACGUUUUUUAGUGGCCAAACUAACAAGUCUUUUCCUUUUUUCUUGUAGCCUGGCAAAUGACACCUACCAAAAACGCAGAUGCUGAGCUUGCGUACGGAUCUGGUCAUAUCAGUCCAUUACAAUCUGCAGAUCCCGGGCUUGUUUAUGAAACUGGUCAACAGGAUUACAUACAAAUGCUUUGCGACCUGGGCUAUGGUUCGAGGCUCGGACAAAUAGCAGGGGGGAAUAGCACUUGUCCUGAGAAGAAAUCAUUUGCUAGGGAUCUUAACUAUCCUUCAAUGGCUUCCAGGAUUAUCAAACCGAAAGAGCCAUUUACGAUUACCUUUCAUCGAACUGUUACAAAUGUUGGCCAUGCAAACUCCGUUUACAAAGCAACCAUCUCCUCAAAUCCAAAUGUUAAUAUAACAGUGGUGCCUCAAGCUCUCUCUUUCAAGUCUUUGAAUGAGAAAAAGUCUUUUGAAGUUACUGUCAUAGGAAAUAAUUUGAAAUAUCCAGUGUCUGAAUCUCUGGUCUGGUCUGAUGAUUUCGGUCAUAAAGUGAGGAGUCCCAUUGUUCUGUACUCCCGGUAAUGAUUAGAAUAUUUCUAGUUUCAUUAACCGUUUAUUGCCUAUCAAGCUGCAACCUGUUACAAUAAAUUCUCACCAUGUAAUAUUCUUAAAUUGUUAGUCAAAAAGUUCUUUAUUUUUCUUUUCCAUAUAAUUUCUCACUCCAUUUUUAGCAUAAAUCUUUGCAGUUAUGUAAAUCUUUUUCUCUUUGUUAAUUUGUUCUUUCAAGGUUAUUGGUGUUUUAUGGUGCGAUCUUUUUUCUUAGCCUAAAUUUUUAGCAACUAAACAUUUUGAGCUCUGUAGUUUUAGUACUCCAGCUCGCAUUGGAAAGAAAUGAUAUGUGAUAAUUAAAAACCAGUAAUUAAGGGAUAUUGUUGUAAACUACCUAUAAUUUGAAUUAAAACUUUUGAGUGCCAAUAAUUUGAUUCCAAAAAAUUAUUUGAUCAAUAAUUCUCGGGCUUUGGGUUUGCUAGCUUGUUGACUCGAAUUUGGUGCAAUGUUGGACUUUGUGGAUACUGAUUGUAAUAUGCACCCUUGAUAAGAAUAUUAAAGAUUUCAGUACUGGAAUCAUCUGCAGAGCAUGCUUCCGACUAGGGUUCUCCUGUAGCUGGCUGCAGUCAGUGUCCCACAGGACGGGAUGGAGGUGAAUGUCCCUUAUUGGGGCCUCUCGCCAGAUGGUAAGUUUUCUGUUAAAUUUACUUAUAAUAUGAUUACUGACAUAUCUUCUCUUUUUGCAGAUAACAGGUGGAACGUAGCUUGGAAGUGGUCGGACGUCCAACGUUUUCGACAUUUCUUUUGGAUAGUCUUGCGGAAAGGCUUGCUUACCAGCGAGGAGCGGGUCUGCAGGCAUAUGGCUGAUGAUCCGAUUUGCACUUUCUGUGGCCUUGACAUCGAGGACUUGAAUCACGUUUUGAGGGAGUGUCACCAGGCGAAGAACCUUUGGCAGAAGAUUAUUCCACAGAUAGCUGUCUAUAGCUUCUUCAACACUCCGCUCAAUGACUGGGUUUGUGCUAACCUGCAGAACAAUCGUAAUUGGUGUUCGUCAUUUCAGGACUGGAAGAUUAUCUUUGGCAUUGCUUGCUGGUUGCUUUGGAAACAACGUAAUGCCUUCAUAUUUGGUGGGAAUCUUCUUAGCUUGGAGGAGUUAAAACAGGAGGUGUUCAAGCCUCUAGUAUCGAGUCUACCAUCUCUGGCCAUGUUGUUGAGAAAUAGGAGAAGCUCGUCAGUUGGGCUCCACUACCCCAGGAAUGGAUUAAGAUCAACACAGAUGGGGCCCUCCGUGUUAGCAACAACACUGCUUAUUCUCGUGCGUUGGGUAGGGAUUGUAAUGGUCAGUGGCUUAGGGGGCACCUCAGGAAUAUUGAUGUUUGCUCUAUUCUCCAGGCGGAACAGUGGAAAGCCCUGGAUGGUCUCGAAUUAGUUUGGAAUUUGGGCUCACGCCAAGUUAUCCUUGAGAUGGAUAAUGCAUUUGCCGUCCAGAUCCUUAACAAAGUUUUUAACAAUGAAAUGAUCUCGGUUAAUGCGAACUCUAAUCUUAUCUUAGUUAUCAAAGUUUGGCUCAUGAAAAACUGAACUGUCAAGAUAUAACAUGUCUACCGUAAAGGUAAUCGGUAUGCAAACUACCUAGCAAAUCUUACUUUUGACCGGUGGCCUCCAUCACAUACAACAUCCUCCUAUGGAAUUAAUGAAUAUUAUUAGAGAGGAUCUCAUCAAAGUCUCUUGGCCUAAGAUGUACAAUCUUAGACGUUUUGGUUUGGUUUUAUUGUACUUCUUCUCCCUUUAUACCAAAAAAAAAAAAAGAUUUCAGUACUGGAGAUUGCAAUACUCUAACUCUACCUCACAAAGAUAUGAUACGUGAUUAUCGAGCUGCAUAUGAAGUCUGAUAUCACAUAUUACCAAUAAUUUGAGUUUAAACUUUUAAUACUAAUAUUUUUAGGCCCAAGAAAUUGUGAACUAAUGGUUCUUGGGCUGGGGACUUACAACCAAGUGUUUCAACUAGGAGAAGUUUCAUUACUCACGCUAAAAUACUGAAAGACUGCAGUCACUCUAUAAAAACAGCGGCAGUAUCUAAACUGUUCAAUUGAUUUUUUUCCAACAAAUUUUUUGUAGCGUCGGUUUAGUGGCAAUUUAGAAACUGCAGCUACAGUUUUCAAAUUAACUGCCGUUAGCAGACCUUAAAAACCGCUGACAAUUCUCCUUUUGUGCACUGUAUAUUGAUUAUUAUUAAACCUUAUUUGAUUUUGCUGGAUAUGCCUGAAGCAUUUCCUUCUAAACUUAAGCCAACUUCAUAAUUUUCUUAGAAGGUUUUAAACAGACAUAAAUAUUUUUUCCCUGUAUUAUAUAGAUUGCAGCCUAUCAGGGAAGGAAAAGAUCAUUUGCAGUCUAAGGUAACAUCUUAAUAUCAUUAAAAAUUGUGAAAUUUCUCAAUUCAUGAACCAAUAACAAUGGAAAAAAAAUUAAUUGUUCCAGAUCCUUAGAGGAUUAAAUGGAAAUAGAAAAUAAAACAAAUUAAUGCAACUUAAAAACAUAUUAAUGGUAUUAGAAAACCAUUUGUAUCACCCAUUGUUGCAGAAAAAUCAACAAUGGUUAAGAAAGGUUUUGUCCUGUUUCAUACCUUCUCUCUGUUAUCAUACUCAGAAUCAAUCUAUCUUGCCGUGCCACUAAUGAGGAUAGGAAGUUAAAGUAUCUAAAGAUUUUUGUUGACAUCAAGUUAUCUUACUUUGGACUAAUAUUGCUGAGGAUGAUGAUCUCAAAGAACUUUAUUAAUUAAGUUUUUCCUUAUGAUCUCAAACAAUAACUCAAUUGAAAUAAUAUUAAGCAAGUUUUUUCCUUGUACAACAGCGUAAGAUCUUUAAAUUAAAGUGUUCGUGUUGGAUGAAUCAUUAGAAAAAGGAAACACAUUAAUCAUGAAGAUAAAAUAAAUACCAACAAAUCACUACACUUUUGCACAAUCAACAUUUACAAUGGCUAAGGUAGAGUUUGUCCUGUUUCUCUAUGUUGUCUCUCUUCUAAUUCUCUGUAUGAGCCUAUCUUAUGGUGCCAACAAUGAGGAGAGAAAGGUGAGUGUGUAUGAAUUUUUUUUUUUUUUUUGACCUUUUUUGAUAACAAAUGACCUGAGAGAUUACUUAGACUACUAUUGAUGGUGGUGGUGAUGAUGAUGAUUUAGGCCUAUAUCGUGUACAUGGGAUCACUUCCUAAGGGCCAGUACUUUCCAGCAGCUCACCAUGUUACCAUGCUCCAAGAUGUUGUUGGGGCCAGGUGAAAUCCUUGAAUCUUACUUCUUGCAUAUUCAUAAUCAUCUAUAUAUAUACACACACACAUAUGUUGGGUGACUAUAUCCAGUAUCAUAUAAUUCUGGGUUAGAACUUGACAUGGCAUCUGCGCUUAUCUACUUCGUGGUUUGGAUCUAUCUGCGCUUGUCUACUUAUGUACACUCUGUGUGGGGCGGGGUGGGGGUGGUAGGAAUGUAAUACUACAUCAAUCAAACAUGAGAAUUUGUAAUGGUUUGUGUGAUUGUUUAGCCAUUCUUCUUAAAAUCAUUUUAUUUUGGAUUACAAUCUUACUCUAGUUAUUUCUUUUUUACUUUUUUUAAAUUUAGAUGUUCUAAUGUUUUUCUAUCUUUUGCUAGCUUUGAAGAAAAUCUAUUGAUUGGAAGUUACAGGAGGAGUUUCAAUGGAUUUUCAGCCAUGAUCACUGCUUCUGAGAGAAAGAAGCUGGUCGGUGAGUGUUGCAAAUGCCUUUCUGUCUAAGAAAAUUUAAAAACAUGAUUGAAUCAUGGAUGAUGGCAUUCUGUAUAAGAUUUAUAUUUAAACUUUGAUCUUCACAGCGAUGAAAGGAGUAGUCUCAGUUUUUCCAAGCAGAAUUUAUCAGUUACACACAACAAGAUCUUGGGGCUUCAUGGGGUUCGACGAGACUACUGAUCAGAAGCUCCACGAUCUAAAAAAGGAGAGUGAGGUUAUCGUUGGUAUUAUUGACAGUGGAAUCUGGCCUGAAUCACAAAGCUUCAGUGAUGGAGAUCUUGGUCCAGCUCCAAAGAAGUGGAGGGGUGAAUGUAAAGGUGGAAGCAACUUCACUUGCAACAAGUGAGUUUGACUCCUAUAUUUUCUGAAGUAAUUUAACUGAUUUUUGAAAGGUUGAAAUACUAAUACGUACCUUACAGCAAGCUUAUUGGAGCACGAUAUUAUGCUUCAGACUCUGCAAGAGAUACUGACGGUCACGGAUCUCAUACUGCAUCUACAGCAGCAGGAAACACAGUAAAGAAUAUAAGUUUUUAUGGGCUGGCUGAAGGUACUGCAACAGGAGGGGUUCCCUUUGCCAGGAUUGCCGCAUAUAAAGCUUGUGGUGAAAGUGGGUGUAGUUCACAGGCAAUCUUGGCAGCUUUUGAUGAUGCUAUUGCUGAUGGAGUUGAUGUCAUAUCAAUUUCAGUGGGACCAUCACUUCCAAGUGAAGUGAUUGAAGAUCCUAUUGCCAUUGGUGCUUUUCAUGCAAUGGCAAAUGGAAUUUUGACUGUGCAGUCUGCAGGGAAUACUGGUUCUGGCCGUUUUACAGUGGUAAGCACAGCACCAUGGAUUCUGACUGUUGCAGCAAGCACCAUUGAUCGUGCCUUCAUCGACAAAGUUGUUCUUGGAAAUGGAAAGACUUUAGUGGUAUAUAUCAAGAAAUCUCUUCCUUAUUUCUGCAAAUAGUACAACUUCUUAAAUAUUUGGCUUCUUUAUGUUUAUGAUUAGCUCACUACAAACAGGGAAAAUCAAUUAAUUCAUUUAGUCUAAAAGGAGAAAAAUAUCCUUUGAUCUAUGGAAAAGAUGUCACGACGACCUGCACCCCUGAGACUGCAGGGUAGGUACAAUUCAGAUAAAUCAUUUCAAAUUGACAGCUUGUUGUUUUUCUCAGUAUGCUGAUGAAGUAAGAAACUUUUAAAUUCUGGUGAAUUUCAGGCUGUGCAGCAAAGGAUGUCUGGAUAAUAAUUUAGUUAAGGGAAAAAUUGUUGUCUGUGAUCAGAAGAAGGGAUUUUCCGUUGUUCAUAAAGCUGGAGGCUUGGGGUCUGUACUUAGAGACACAAUAAUUUCAGAGAAUAUUUCUUUCAUUUACUCCUUGCCAACAUCUGCUUUAGAGCCUGAUGAGUACGAUACUGUCAAGUCGUACCUUAAAACAACAGAGUACGAAAAGCAAUACAGCUUCCCAUUUACUGUACUUUCUUCUAGCUUUCCUUCAGAUAAGUCAUUCAUGUAACAUAUUUUACAGCCCUGUGGCAGAAAUAAUGAAAAGUGAGACUAGAGAAGAUACAAAUGCUCCUGUUGUGGCUGUCUUUUCUUCGCGUGGCCCGAAUCUUCUUAUCGAAGAAAUUUUGAAGGUAGCUACUGCCAUAGGCAAUGCCUCUCAGAGCUCUCAUAUCUUCAUUCUUCUAUAUUGGAGUUCUAUUGAUUUGAACUUUGAUGCAAUGCAGCCAGAUUUAACAGCCCCAGGGGUAAAUAUCUUGGCUGCUUUUUCACCUCUUGCUUCACCCUCAGGUGAUCCUUUGGAUAAUCGCCGUGUAAAUUACAAUCUAUUAUCCGGCACCUCCAUGUCUUGCCCCCAUGCUUCUGGACUUGCUGCUUAUGUUAAGGCAUCCCACCCUGAUUGGUCUCCUUCAGCCAUCAAAUCUGCUUUAAUGACAACUGGUUUUCUUUUAUCUCCUAACUUCCUCAUUCAAAACAUCAACUUUUUCUUUGUAAAAAUUUCAGGAUUUGAUGUUUCUUGCUGGCCAAACUAACAAUCCUUUUCCUUUUUCUUGUAGCCUGGGAAAUGACAAGUUCCAAAAAUGUGGAGGGUGGAUUAGCUUAUGGAUCUGGGCAUAUUAGUCCUUUACAAUCUACAGAUCCUGGGCUUAUAUACGAAGCUGAUAAAUAUGAUUACGUACAAAUGCUUUGCGACUUGGGCUAUGGUUCAAAGCUUGGACAGAUAGCAGGAGACAAUAGCACUUGUCCUGAGGAGAAAUCAUUUGUCAGGGAUCUUAACUAUCCUUCAAUGGCUUCUGGCAUUAGAAGCACAGAAGAGCCAUUUACAGUCACUUUUCAUCGAAUUGUUACAAAUGUUGGCCGUGCAAACUCCGUUUACAAAGCAACCGUUUCUUCCUCAAAUCCAAAUGUUAAUAUAACAGUGGUGCCUCAAGCUCUCUCUUUCAAGUCUUUGAAUGAGAAAAAGUCUUUCAAUGUUACUGUUGUCGGAAAUAGUUUGGAAUCUGCAUUAAUGUCCGAAUCCUUGGUCUGGUCUGAUGGUUUCGGUCAUAAAGUGAGGAGUCCCAUUGUUUUAUUUGGCUCCUGAUUAGAAUUUUUCUAUUUUCAUUAGCAAUCUUAUUGCUAAUCAAGCUGCAGCCAGUUACAACAAAUUUUCACACUUAAGCCUUUGUAGCAUUGUUAAAUUGUCAAUAAAAAGUUUUUUUUUUCAAUAUUAUAACAUUCUCAUUCCAUAGUUGAACUCCAAUAGCUGAAUAUGUAAUGGUUUUUUUCUCGUUUAUUUGGUAGUUCUGUGACGAUUAAAUAAGGGAGAAAAUUUUGGCAGUACCAUUUUCUUGGUACCUGUACUUGUCUACAAGAUUCUCAAAUAUCUCAAAAGCUCUUCAGAAAAGAGUUUAUUCUUUAAAAAGAGUGAAAUCAUGGUAAUAUAAGUAUUCACAGAUGUAGAUUGAGCAGGUUUAACAAAAAAUAGAAGGUUUAUUAUCGGAUAUUUUACAUUUAUUUGAGGGAACUUGGUUACAUAGGUGAGUAAAAAACAAAAUACGAUGGCGAGAAGUAGUGCUGAAAUGUUAUUUAGAGUACGGACAUAGAGAAUUUGUAAAGGACUGGAGUUGCAAGUAGAAGCCAAAUUACCGAUAAAAAUCUACUGUAACAAAAAAGUUGUCAUCAAUAUUUCACUCAAUUCUGUAAGACAUGAUAGGACCAAACAUGUGGAAAUAGAUUGACAUUAUAUUAAAGAAAAUGUAGAAGAAGAUAUUAUCUACAUGACAUGUGUCUAACAAAGAGCAAAUCAUAGAUAUCCUCACUAAAGAUCUUCCUCGAUGAAGUUUUGACAAUGUUCUUCACAAGUUGGAUAUGAUCUAUAUCUACAAUCCAACUUGAGGGGGUGUUGGAAUCUCGUAUGUUAAAGGAUUAUGAUUGACAUUUAAUGGAACAAAAUCAUUAUCGGAAUCUUGAGAUUAUAGUUGAUAUUUAAUAGCAGAAAACCAAUGAUUGAUUUCACUAAUUAAUUAGGUAUAAUUUUUUAAUUAAUUAGGUGCAGUCAAUUACUUGAAUUUUUUCUUUUUGUUCGUAGACUCUUGUACUAUAAAAUAGAAGAGAGUUUUACAAAUCGCUCUGAAUUCUCCUUUUAUGCACUGUAUAAUGAUCAUUAAACCUUAUUUGAUUUUGCUCGAUAUGCAAGCAAUACUGCCUUCUAAAUACACUGUAUACUUUUGAAGUUAAUAAGCCAAGUUCAUAAUUUUGUCAAUGGGAUUUAAACAGACAUAAAUAAGUUUCCCUUGUAUUAAGUACCCUAUCGGGGAAGAAAAAUUAAGAUAAUAUCUGAAUAUCAUUGAAACAUGUAAAGUUUUUUAAACCUUAUUACUUACUGUAUAAUGAUUAUUAAAGCUUACUUGAUUUUGCUGAAUAUGCAAGCAGUACUUCCUUCUAAUACACUGUAUACUUAAGCCAAGUUCCUAAAUUGGUCAAUGGGAUUUAAACAGACAUAAAUGAGGUUCCUUGUAUUAAGUACCUUAUCAGGAAAGAAAAUUAAGAUACAAUCUAAAUAUUAUGUGAAGUUUUUAAAUUCAUGGACCAAUAGAGAAAUAAUAAACAUUAAUUUUUUCAGAUUCUUUAACGGGUAAAUGGAAAUAUAGGAUGAAAAAAUCUAAUACAGCUCUAAAACAGAUUGAAGGUAUAAAAAAGCUAGUCAUGUCACCUUAUUGUUGCAGAAAAAUCAACAAUGGCUAAGCAGGGUUUUGUCCUGUUUUAUUACCUUCUAUCUACUGUCAUCCUCAGCAUCAACUUAUCUUGGGCUGCCACGAAUGAUAGAAAGGUAAGUGUCUUCUGAUCUUUUUUGACAUCAACUCAUUUAUCUUGGACUAAUAAUGCUGAUGAUGAUGAUUCAGGUGCAUAUUGUGUACAUGGGAUCACUUCCUAACCGCGUGUAUUCACCAUCGUCACAUCAUUUUACCAUGCUUCAAGAUGUCAUAGGGGCUAGGUGAAAGCAAUGGAUCUCAGUUUGUCUUAUUUCAUUUACUUUCUUCAAGAAAAUUUACCUUAUUACUAAUAUCCAUCUCUGUUUUUUCCCAGCUUCGAAGAAAAUUUAUUGGUCAGAAGUUACGGAAGAAGUUUCAAUGGAUUUGCAGCCAAUAUCACUGAUUCUGAGAAACAGAAGCUUGAAGGUGAGUACUUUUCCUUUCAAAACAAUUUGACACAUGAUUGAAUCGAGAUCAUGAGACUAUAUUAAUUUUUUUACCUGCAGCAAUGGAAGGAGUUGUUUCAGUUUUUCCAAGGACAAUUUUUCAUCUCCAGACAACGAGAUCCUGGGGCUUCUUGGGGUUUAACGAUACCCGCAAGCUUCAUGAUCCAAGAGUUGAGGGCAAUAUUGUAGUUGGUGUUAUUGACAGUGGAAUCUGGCCUGAAUCAAAAAGCUUUAAUGAUAAAGGUUUUGGUCCUGCACCAAAGAAGUGGAAGGGUGCAUGUAAUGGUGGCAAAAAUUUCACUUGCAACAAGUAAUUUUUCACUCCUACGCUUUCUGAAAAUAUGUAUAUUACAGACUUGCAAUCAGGUCUAUAAGCUAUUUCAAAUUUAGUUCUUUUAAGUAUUUACUGGGUUUUAGUUGAUUAUUAGUAAGUAGGAAAUUUUGAAAUUAUUCUGGCAACAAACUGUCAACAAUCUAUAAUUCUAAUUCAUAUUUACAGCAAGAUUAUUGGAGCGCGAUUUUAUACUACAGACUCCGCAAGGGAUACUGAUGGUCAUGGAUCCCAUACUGCUUCUACAGCAGCAGGAAACGAAGUAAGUGAUGUAAGUUUUUUUGGAAUGGCAAAAGGAGUUGCGAUAGGAGGGGUUCCUUUCGCAAGAAUUGCUGCCUAUAAAGUUUGUGUAGAAAAUGGGUGUGGCACCGAAGCUCUUUUGGCUGCUUUCGAUGAUGCUAUUGCUGAUGGAGUUGAUGUCAUAACAAUUUCAAUAGCUCCAGCAAUUGGGCUAGAUUUUGUGAAUGAUCCUAUCGCAAUUGGCGCUUUUCAUGCAAUGGCGAAAGGAAUUAUUACAGUGCAGUCUGCAGGAAAUUCUGGUCCUUCAAGUACUUUAGUGGCAAGUGUAGCGCCAUGGAUUCUUUCUGUUGCAGCAAGCACCAUUGAUCGUUCCUUCGUCAAUAAAGUUGUUCUCGGAAAUGGCAAGACUUUAGUAGUAUGUAUCAUGAGAUCUCUUCCUUGUUAACCUAUGUGAUUUGCUGUACACUAUAAAUUUUUUAAUAUGCUCAACUUGUUUUAUUAAUUUACUCAACACAAACAGGGCAAGGCAGUUAAUACUUUCAGUUUAAAUGGAGUUAAAUAUCCCUUGGCCUAUGGAAAAGGUGUUAUUGCUUCAGGCUGCACUGAUGAUCUUGCAGAGUAGGUGCUAUUCAGAAAUCAUUUCAGCUUGAAACUUUAAAUUCUUAAUAUAAUUAAUUAGUUAAACCAUUUAAGUAAAAUAGAUUCUGAUUCUUGGUGAAUUUCAGGCGAUGCUUGGUAGGAUGUUUAGACAGUGGCUUAGUGAAGGGAAAAAUUGUGCUAUGUGAUGAGAUUGGUGGAUAUUCUGUUGUUCAAGACGCUGGAGGUCUGGGAUCACUACUUAAAGCGAAAAGUUCUGAAGCUAGUUCCAAUCUUUUCCCAGUACCUGUAUCAGCUUUAGUAGAUGUUGACUAUGACACAGUCAAGGAAUACAUUAAAACAACAGAGUAGGAUAUCAAUACUUGUUUUCCGUGUUCUAGUGUUUCUUUCAGUAAGUCAUUCUUACACUAAAUUUUACAGCAAGCCUGUAGCAGAAAUACUGAAAAGUGAGACCAUCGAAGAUUCAAAUGCUCGUAUUGUAGCUUACUUUUCUUCGCGUGGGCCAAAUUCCAUUGCACCAGAUAUUUUAAAGGUACCUAAUUAACAGACCCAAAAAUUGAAGUUUUACCACUAGCAUUUGCUGAUGUAAAGCUUUGAUGCAAUGUAGCCGGAUUUAUCAGCUCCAGGAGUGGACAUCUUGGCUGCAUUUUCUCCCCUAGCACCCCUCACAAAAGAUAAAUCAGAUUCUCGGCGAGUAGACUACAACGUGAUGUCGGGAACCUCCAUGGCUUGCCCCCAUGUCGCUGCAGUUGCUGCUUAUGUCAAAGCAUUGCACCCUGAUUGGUCUCCUUCAGCCAUCCACUCUGCUCUUAUGACAACAGGUUACAAAACUUUCCCACCCUUAACAUCAUUUUUUAUUUUUUAUUUUCGUUUUCAUUAUUUGAUAUUUCUUGCUUGCAAAGUAACAGUUUUUAUUUUCAUGUAGCCUUGCCAAUGAAACCUUCAAGUACUUCCGAUGCCGAAUUUGCUUAUGGAUCUGGACAUAUCAAUCCUUUACAAUCUGCUAAUCCCGGGCUUGUAUACGAAGCUAGUAAAGAGGAUUACAUAAAAGUGCUUUGUGGGUUGGGCUAUAAUUCGAGUGAGAUCAAGAAAAUAUCAGGAGAUGAUAGCACCUGUCCUGUCGGGGCUGAUACCUCACUAGUGAGGAAUCUUAAUUACCCUUCAAUGGCUACCAACAUUACUGAACCAGGAAAACCAUUCACGGUUGUUUUUCACCGAACUGUCACGAAUGUUGGCCUUGCAAAUUCCGUUUACAAAGCAACAAUCUCCUCGAAUGCAAAUAUUAAAAUCACAGUCGAGCCUAACGUUCUCUCUUUCAAGUCUUUGAAUGAGAAAAUGUCAUUCGACGUCACAGUCGUUGGAAAUAAAUUGGAUUCUCCAGUAGUAUCUGGAUCUUUGGUCUGGUCCGAUUCCACUCAUCAAGUGAGGAGUCCCAUUGUCAUGUCCGCCUGUUAUACCUGUAAUAAUGUUAAUGGCAUUUAACAAAAUUAAAUUACACAUUUACUAUGAUUUCAAAAAUAUAUUUUUCUAUGAGCAAUCUCACUGCUUCGUCUAGUUGUAACUUGUUACAGUACAAUUCAAAUAUAUAUAUAUAUAUAUAUAGUGGUCCUGCACUUUAAAUUCUUGUUCAAUUCUCUGUUUGUUUCAUGCAAUCUUGAGCCUCCAACAACUGUUUUCUUAACGGUCUGCUCCUCUGGUAUCUUUCUUCCAAGAACACCUCCAGUUGGGUUGACAGUGAUUCAAUCUGAAUCGGUGAGGAAAUGGAAGCUAAACCCGAAUCUGUCCCAGCGGAUUUGAAUUUUUUUAUUUCUUCGAAUUGUGUCGAAUUUAUUUAUUAUUUAACUGAAUCUGACUAACUCAUUUUAUUAUAUUAAUAAAAAUAUAAUAAUUAUAUGUAUACUAAAAAUGUUUAAAAUAUAUUUAUUAAUAUGUAUAAUAACAUAUACUAAUUAUAUUAUAUUAAUAUAAAUAUAAUUAUAUUUUUAAUAUGAUAUUUUUUAUUUAUUUAUUUAUAUAAAUAUAUUUAUAUAUAUAACAAUAAAAAAUUAAAAAAUAUAUAUAUAUAGAGCGGGGAUCUCAUAAAAAUAUACACAACCUGAGAAGGAGCCAUUUGUUAAGGAUUCUAAACUGUCCUUCAAUGGCUUCCACUAUUGAAAAACCAGAAAAGCCAUUUACAAUCACUUUUCAUCCAACUGUUACAAACGUUGGCUGUGAAAACUCUGUUUACAGAGCUACCAUCUUCUCAAACCAACAUGUCAAUAUCACAGUGGUGACUCAAGCUUUCUCUUCCAAGUCUUUGAAUGAGAAAAUUUCUUUCAACAUCACUGUUAUUGGGAAUGAUUUGAAACCUUCAGGAAUGACUAUCCUUCUCCAAUCAUCUUCAUGCCUCUCCCUUAGCUCCAGAAAAUGGCUACCUCUAUUUCUGUCUGACCUGAUUGAAAUCAUUCCAUUGAUUGAUAUGUCAACUAACUUCAAGACUGAAGCCCAAUAUUUUGACUCUUACAAUUAAAAUUUGUCUCCUUUUUUUGCAAACAAGGUUUGUUUUCCGGGUUCUAUAUAAGCUGGUUACUAAUAAAAAGAAAAUAAUGAUGAAAUUGAAAAUCAAUGAAAAGUUAUUGAUGAUAACAAACCGUGUUCUUAUCCGGCGAUAUGAUAUAUGUUUUCUUCAACAUAUAUAUGGCAUUCUUUUGUACAUGUGUCAAGAAGCUACAAUUCAGGAUAAUGUCAAUCCUAAUACAUUGUCUUCAGUACACAAAUUUAGAAUUAGUUUUGCUGGAUUUCCAUACUUGCAAACAUGUGAAUGAUUUUCCUAUUUUGUUAGACUAUUAUGGAUUGUUAUCUCACCUUACUCUGGUUGUGAGAUAUGAAAAAUUAAUUUCCUAGGAUUUUCUAGAUUCAAAUCGAUGUAUAUCAUAGUACAUAUUUUCAUUAAUCUCUCAUUCAUUGCGUCCUAGUACUACAACAACAAACGCUAAACAUGAGCUUAUACUGUUUUAUUACUUUCUCUCCGUUCUCAUACUCAGCAUGACCAAAUUUUGUAGCAGCAGUGACGAGAAAAGAAAGGUAAAUAUUCUUUAUUUCAUAAGUAUUUGUUCGCUAAGAUUUUAGAGAACGAAAAAUGCAACUCCACUACAGGAAUGUUGAUUGGUUUGAUUAUUGUCUGCGAUGAUGAUGAUGAUGCGGGUACAUAUUGUAUACAUGGGAUCGCUUCCUAACUGCGAAUACUUGCCAUCAUCUCACCAUCUUACUAUGCUACAAGAUGUUGUUGAGGGCAGGUAAAAAUUUUGAAAUUUUAGUAUACAUAUUAACUUAACGGCUUAAGCUUAUCUUUCCUGCUAGCUUAAUUUUUUUAAGAUGAGUGGUCAUAAUCAAUUAUUUCAUUGCUGCAAUCUCUACCUCGUUAUUUUUCCAGCUUUGAAGAAAGUUUAUUGAUCAGAAGUUACAAAAGGAGUUUCAAUGGAUUGUAGCCAACAUCACUCAGUCUGAGAAACAAAAGCUAGCUGGCGAGAACUGCAAAAUGCUUAUCUAUUCUACUUUAAGUUCAAAAUAUGAUUGAAUCAUGGGUUAGAAAAUGUAUGUCUAAACUUUGAUGUGUGCAGCCAUGAAAGAAGUGGUCUCAGUUUUUCCAAGUACAACUUAUGAUCUCCUAACAACAAGGUCUUGGGACUUCAUAGGACUCAACGAGACCACGAAUCGUAAUACCAGUGCUGAGAGUGAUAUCAUAGUUGGUUUACUUGACACGGGGGUCUGGCCUGAAUCAGAAAGCUUUAGCGAUAAAGGUUUCGGUUCUGUUCCUGAGAAGUGGAAGGGUGCUUGUAAAGGGGGUGAAAAUUUCACUUGCAAUAAGUAAUUUCACUCCUAUAUUCCCAAUCUGUUGCUUCCUUAUAUAUCUAUUAGCUUUUUAACUUCCCUUUUAUAUAACUUUUCUUGCAGCAAGCUUAUCGGAGCCCGGUACUAUUCCUCGGAAAUAACAAUUACAUCUGCUAGGGAAAAUGUUGGACAAGGAUCUCAUACUGCUUCCAUAGUGGCAGGAAAUAAGGUGAAGGACGCAAGUUUUUAUGGGUUGGCGCAGGGGACUGCAAGAGGAGGUUUUACGCUCUGCAAAAAUUGCUGCAUAUAAAGUUUGUGAAGAUUCAUGUAAUUCAGAUCAAAUCUUGGCUGCCUUCGAUGAUGCUAUCACGGAUGGAGUGGACAUCAUAUCGGUUUCAUUGGAAAAAAGAGUUGGGGUUAAGUUUGAGGAAGAUUCUAUUGCUAUUGGUGCUUUCCAUGCAAUGGACAAUGGAAUUCUCACGGUUAAUGCAGCAGGAAAUUCUGGUCCUUUUACCGAAAACGCGGCAAGUGUAGCAGCAUGGCUUUUUUUGGUAGCAGCAAGCAGCAUUGAUCGUAAGUUCAUUGACAAGGUUGUUUUUGGGAAUGGCAAGACAUUAGUAGUAGAUGUCAUAAAAUAUCUUACCCUCAUUACAUAUUUAAGGUAAUCAACUUUUGAGAAAUUUCUUGUGCUAAUGGGAUUAUGUCUACAAAAACAAGGCGAUUCUCUUAAUUCAUUUUCUCUCCACGGGGAAAAGUAUCCUUUGAUAUUUGGAGAAAAUGUUACAAGUGUCUGCUCUGGGAUUCUUGGCAAGUAGGUCUUGUGCAGAAAAAAAAAAUCCAACUUCAUAGAUUUUUUCGUGAAGUUACAUUAUUUAAUAAGGCAUUUUGAUUAUUUGAUUAAUCUCAGGCAAUGUGACCCAGCAUGUAAAUACAGUGACAAAGCAAAGGGAAAAAUUCUAGUAUGUGGUGAAGGGAAUGCACCCAUGGGAAGUGCUGCAGCUACAUAUGCUGGCGCUGCGGGAUCAAUAUUCAACAAUCAAAGAUCCUAUUACUUCAUGGCUUACCCUAUCCCCACAACAGUUUUAAGAAAAGUGACUAUGAUUCAGUCAAGGACUAUAUGACAACAACAGCGUACAAAAUGACUAAAUCCAUUGUUUAUACAUUAAUAUUUGUUUCCCAGCUUUUGUGCUUUUCUCUUUACAUUAAUCAUUUUUUGGUGUCGUUAUACAGGAAUCAUGUGGCAGAAAUACUUAAAACGGAGGGCAUUAAAGAUUUGAGGGCAUGUGUUGUCGCUUCAUUUUCUUCGCAUGAGCCUAAUGCUAUUACUUCAGACACUAUAAAGGUACAUCUUGUGCAUAGCCUAAACCACUUAUGUCUCAUAGUCUCUAAAUUGGAAUUUGUAGUUAGGCUGCUAGUUUUUGCUACUAAAAUCUGAAAUAUUGCAAUGCAGCCAGAUGUAACUGCUCCAGGGUUGAGUAUCUUGGCAGCAUUUUCUCUUAACGCUUCACUAUCAAGUACCUUUGCUGACAAGCAGCGUGUCAAAUACAUGAUAUUCUCUGGAACCUCCAUGUCUUGCCCCCAUGUUUCUGGGGCUGCUGCUUAUGUGAAAACAUUUCACCCUGAUUGGUCUCCGGCAACCAUUAAAUCGGCUCUUAUGACUACUGGUAAAUCAACUUCAAAUCCCACCAUUACAUAAAUUUUAUUUUAAAAUUUCAUGGUUUGUAUAGGUUUUUGUUUCUUACUUUCUUAAUGAUAAUCUUUGUUUUCCUUGUAGCUUGGUCUAUGAAUUCUUCAAAAGAUUUUUCAGAUGCUGAAUUUUCUUUUGGAUCCGGGCAUAUCAGUCCAGCACAAUCCGUUGACCCGGGACUUGUAUAUGAUGCUAUGAAAGGGGACUACAUAAAAUUGCUUUGUGGCAUGGGCUAUAAUGGGAGUAAACUUAAACAGAUAUCAGGAGAUAAAUCAUUAGUUAGGGAUCUUAAUUAUCCUUCAAUGGCUGUUAAGGUCGAGCUAAACAAGAACUUCACGAUUACGUUUCAUCGAACUGUUACUAAUGUUGGCCCUGCAAACUCCACUUACAAGGCAAACAUCACCCAGAAUCCAGAAAUUAGCAUCAAAGUGAUGCCUGAGACUCUCAUUUAAGUCUUCAAACUAGAAACAGUCUUUCAAUGUCACUGUCGAGGGAAAACUGUCACAACAUUCAGAAAGAGUGUCUGCAUCUUUGAUCUGAUCUGAUGGCACUCAUAGUGUGAGGAGUCCUAUCGUUGUGUAUACAAAUUAGAACCCAUUGUGCUUUAUCAGUAAACUUUUUUCGCUGUAGGAAGCUGCAAUCUGUUACAAUAAUGUGUUUUUGAACUUAAAGCUUUAUUUAUUGUCAUAAUAUUGUGAAGAAAAAAUGAGAUACCUUUUCUCUAUUCUGCCUAAAUAUAUAUAUAUAUAUAUAUAUAUAUAUUGAAAACUACAGAAAGAAUAUCAGCAGCUUCUAUCUGGUCUGAUGGCACUCAUAGAGUAAAGAACUCGACAAUUACAUAUUUUCCAACAUGGGAUUGAAGUUGUUAAUGUAUUAACACUUUUCUUAUUACACAUUUAUGUUAAGGUACAUAUAUGUUUAAAUAGUUACAUUAAUUUUAAGGUGCAUGUAAGUACAUUUAUACAUAUAUAUUUAAAUAGGUACAUGAAUCUGAAAGUGCAUGUAAGUGCAUUUAUGCAUAUAUACUUAAAUAGGUACAUGAAUUUUAAGGUGCAUGUAAGUAUAUUUAUGAAUGGUUUAUCAUAUGCAUAUAUCUCCUUUUCUUUAUAAACCAUUUUGUAUUUUGAACACAACAUAAUAAGAAAAAAAUUAAGUUUUUAUCUAUACUUUCUCCUUCCUAAAUGUAUCUAUAGAAAGUCCGGACAAGGCCAAAUGAGGUAUUGCUUCCUUGGGAACUUUUCAUUUUAAAACUGCCUCACUUGGCAGCAUAAAUUUACACAAGUUUAGAAGUUAAAAUAGUGGACACAUAAUUUCUCUUCCUUAUAUUGAUCAGAGCUGAGAAAACCUUUGUGUUAGCAAAAGAAGCUGCACUUUCUUUUUUCCUAAAAGAAAACAUAUCAUAAAAACUUAAUUCUUUUUUAUGUAAAGAGAAGCCAAAUUCAGAAUUUUUGGAUUUACCUGCAAAAUCUUAUUUAUGGUAAGGCUAUUAUCCUUAAUUUGCAAUAAAUCUAUAAAUUCUGUGAAUUAAUUUCCUGGGAUGCAUUAGAUAUAAAUGGAAAUAAUUCAAUAAAAUACAAAUUCCUGGUAUAAGUACUGCUAACAUCUUCUCAUCUUGCAUACUCACCAACAAUGGCUAAGAAUGGGUUUUUACUCUGUUACCUUCUCUCUGUUCUCAUGCUUAGCCUGAGCCUUCUCUGUGAUGGUUACAACGGAGAUAGAAAAGUAAGAAAAAUCUGUCCUUUUCAUACUUAUGUUGAUAAUUCAUUUGUUUUAUGUACAUAUUGUAUGUAUAUUAUUUAAACUACUAUUGAUGCUGAUGAUGAUGCAGGUCCAUAUUGUGUACAUGGGAUCACUUCCUGACCGCGAGUAUUCACCAUCAUCUCAUCAUCUUACUAUGCUACAAGAUGUUGUUGAUGAGAGCAGGUGACAUUUACAGACCAGUCAUUAUUUUCUUUCAUUCUCCUCAUCCUCUAGUAAAUUCAAUGUAGAUGGACGAAAUAUAGCUGGAAUUCGGACUAUAGAUCUCUAUCUCUAACAGAAAAUCGAACAAUCGAUUAUUUAUAUCCUAACAUUUUUAUUAUUCUUCUAUACCAGUUCUGCAGAAAAUUUGUUAAUUAGAUCUUACAAAAGGAGUUUCAAUGGAUUUGCAGCAAGAAUCACUGAUGAUGAGAGAGAGAAGCUAGCUUGUAAGUGAUGCAACAUGCUUACCUGUCCCAUUUAAUCAAUUCAAUAUAUGUUUAAAUGGAAGAUCAAAAUAUUUGUGUAUGUAUUUUUAAACUUUUAAAUAUGCAGCAAGGGAAGGAGUUGUCUCAGUUUUCCCCAGUAGAAUGUAUAAGCUCCAAACAACAAGAUCUUGGGAUUUCAUGGGGUUCAACGAGAGCGUAAAACACGAAGCCAGUGCUGAGAGUGAUAUUAUAAUUGGUGUUAUUGACACCGGAGUCUGGCCCGAAUCGGAAAGCUUUAAUGAUCCAGGUCUUGGUCCUCCUCCGAAGAAGUGGAAGGGUGCUUGUGUUGGCGGCAAAAAUUUCACUUGCAACAAGUAAUCUUCCCAAACACUAUAAAGUCAUUUUUUAUUAAUGUGCAUUUUAUUACUAUAUAAUCAUGACUUAAAUGUUUAAUGCAUAACUAAAUACAAAAAUUUUUGUUCAUUUUCCAUACAACUAAAGUUUUGAGAAAACUCAGCCUAAAUGCUAUACACAUAAUCUUGAAAGCUUUCUAACAUUAUGUGUUGCAUACUGAUGUGUAUAUACAGCAAGCUGAUUGGAGCACGAUACUAUAAUUCAUCGGGUGCAGAGAUUGAUUCUACAAGAGAUUUCGAUGGUCAUGGAACCCAUACUGCUUCUACAGCUGCAGGAAACAAAGUAAAGGGUGCAAGUUUCUAUGGUCUGGCUCAAGGAACUGCAAGAGGAGGCGUUCCCUCUGCGAGAAUUGCUGCCUAUAAUAUUUGUGAUGAACACGAUUGUCCUUCAGAGAAUGUAUUGGCAGCUUUUGAUGAUGCUAUUGCUGAUGGAGUUGAUAUUUUAUCAGUUUCAUUAGGACUACAAAAUCCAGCCCCGUUCGAGUAUGAACCUGUUUCAAUUGGUGCUUUCCAUGCAAUGCAGAAAGGAAUUCUCACCGUGCAAGCAGCAGGAAAUACAAUCUCUACUUACAUUAAUGGAUCAGUGUCGGCUAUAUCUCCAUGGAUUCUUUCAGUAGCAGCAAGUACCACAGAUCGGUUUUUCAUCGACAAAGUUGUUCUUGGGAAUGGCAAGACAUUAGUAGUAAGUAUCACUAAAAAUUUUUUCUUCAACAAGAGAUCUUUUCCAUCUAUAUAUAAAGAAUUAUUUCGUAUAAUGGGUUUCUCUUGAUGUGAAUAAUUGCUCACUUGUGUAGUGAUGAGGUUUCUAUACUAAUGACUGGCUCAACGCGAACAGGGGGUUUCAAUUAAUGCUUUUAGUCUAGGUGGAGUGAAGUAUCCGUUGAUAUUCGGAGAAAACAUAACGAGAUCAUCCAAGUGCACAAAGGAUCUUACGGAGUAGGUUCUAGCUAUGCAGAAAGUUAUAUUUACUUUUAAACGAGACCUUCUUGGUCAAUUGCACUAAUAAAGGCAUUUUGCCCUCAAUGAAAUUCAGGUCUUGCUCUAUCGAUUGCGUAGAUAGUGAUUUGGUGAAGGGAAAAAUUGUGUUAUGUGAUUGGUUCUAUGGAAACUUCUUGGUUGAGAGAGCAAAAUCAGCCGUGGGAUCAAUAACUAAAAGAGACCAUGAUAAUUAUACUGCUCAAAUUCCUAUUUUACCAACAUCAGAUUUAAGCCCGGAUGACUUCGACAAUGUCAUUACCUAUGUGAGCACAACAGAGUAAGGAUACAUCACUAUGUACAUAUCUUCACUCCCAUUGAAUAUACAUAAAUAUAUACAUUUACUUCCUUUGCUUCAUUCUUGUAUGAUAUCUUGCAGGAAACCUGUUGCGGAAAUAUUAAAAAGCGAGACAAUUGAAAGUUCAGAUGCCCCUCUUGUGGCUUUCUUCUCCGCACGUGGCCCUAAUUUGAUUGUACAUGAUGUUUUGAAGGUAAAUAUUCCUCACCCUUUUUAUAUUCAAUGUCGAAAAAUUAUUUUGUACAAUAGGUACAUGCUGAUGGAAUUCUAUUAAGUGACAUAAUUUUUUAUAAAAUUCUAAUGGUUCUGAAACAAUUGUUGAUUGAUACAAUGCAGCCAGAUUUAACAGCUCCUGGAGUGGAUAUCUUGGCUGCAUAUUCUCCUCUUGGUUCACCCGCUAGAGACCCCACUGAUCAUCGGCAUGUAAAGUACAGUAUAUUGACUGGAACCUCCAUGUCUUGCCCCCAUGCUGCUGGUGCCGCUGCUUAUGUCAAAUCAUUUCAUCCUGACUGGUCUCCUUCAGCCAUAAUGUCUGCUCUGAUGACCACUGGUGAUCUUCUAUCAGACCAAAAUUAAUAAGAUACUCAUUGAUUGCAAACGAGUUGAAAAAAAAUUGGUUUUGUUUAAAUUUUUGCUCAUUACUUUUAUGACAGUUGAAAAUAAACUGAUUAUAUUUGUAACGUUUUCAAACUUGUAUAUGUUUUUGAAGUACUCUAAGAAACAAAGAUUAUUUUUUGUCUGAUUUCAUAGUCAAAUAUCAAUGUUUCUUGCUAACCAAGCAAAUAAAUUUUUCUUUUUUCUCUUUAGCUUGGUCGAUGAAUUCUUCGAAGAAUCCAUACGGAGAAUUUUCUUAUGGAUCCGGGCAUAUCAAUCCCGUAAAAGCCAUAGAUCCUGGACUAGUAUAUGAUGUUGCUAAUAAAGGGGACUACAUAGAGUUGCUAUGUGGCAUGGGCUAUAAUGGAAGUAAACUUAGACAAAUAACAGGAGACAAUAGCACCUGUCUUAAAGGUGGAGAAAAGUUCUUGGCCAGAGAUCUUAAUUAUCCUUCAAUGGCCCUCAGAGUUCACAAAAGACAGGAAUUUAAUGUUACUUUUCAUCGAACUGUCACAAAUGUUGGCCCUGAAAACUCCACUUACAGGUUGAAUGUUACCCCGGAUCCGAAGAGUAGAAUUGAAGUGAUGCCUGAAAUUCUCACGUUCAAGUCUCGGAAUGAGAAAAAGUCUUACCAAGUUACCGUGGCGGGAAAAUUAAUGGAAUUCUCAGAACGAGCUUCUGCAUCUUUGGUCUGGUCUGAUGGCAUUCAUAAUGUGAGGAGUCCCGUUGUUGUUUAUACUCCCGAAUUUGAAUAAUCGAUUUAUUUGGCUGAUAAUCCAGAUCGUACAUGAUGGAAUAAUGUGUUUUACCCCAAAAUUAAUAAAUUUAUAAUUUUUAUGUAAAUUUAAGUACCAAAGUGAAUGUCUGUGUGAUGUGUAUAUUUAUAAUCUUUAUAUAAGCUUACACAGGGAGUAACGGGGAUAUUCAUAUGUGUGUGUGCAUGUAUAUAUAUUGUCUCUAGCAGCGACUGCAAAUUACAUUAAAUUCAAUGGCGCCCAGGCUACUCGGAAGUUUCCAAACGCCCUCCGUCUUCCGUUCCGGUUGCCUCAGGGUCUUAUCGUCCCUCUCCGCUGCCCAUAACGACGCCGUAGCAGCCGACAGAAUCCUCCUCGACCUCCCCAAACUGGAACCUUCAAACGAGGCCGACUCGCUCUCGCAGAUCCUCCUCAACCACCACAACCCUUUCCACUUCAUGGAAUCUCCUCAGCAACUCCACGGGGUCUCUCUCUCUACUCACCUUCUCCACCAGACCCUUCUCCGCCUCCGUCACUCUUCCAAAAUUGCCCUUGCCUUCUUCCAUUAUUCUCAGUCCCUGCCAUUCCGCCCCGCCGCCGCCACUUCCUACAACCUCCUCAUCGACAUCCUCGGGCGGGUCCGCCAGUUCGACGUCGUUUGGCAGCUAAUAGUGGAAAUGGACCAAAACAACAUUCAGCCUAACUCUCACACUUUCUUGAUUCUUAUUCGGAGGUUGAUCGCUGCCGGACUCACACGGCAGGCCGUGCGCGCGUUCGAUGACAUGCCAUGUUUCAUCGACGAUAAGGUCAGCAUCAACGAGUUCUGUUUCUUGUUGGAUACUUUAUGUAAGUACGGACACGCGAAGGUGGCUGUCGAGGUUUUCAACAAGAGGAAGUACGAGUUCGGAGUUGAUGGUAAACUUUACACCGUUUUGAUUGAUGGGUGGUGCAAGAUUAGGAGGAUGGAUAUGGCAGAGAGGUUCCUGAGGGAGAUGAUCGAGAAGGGUAUCGAGCCGAAUGUGGUUACCUACAAUGUGCUCUUGAAUGGUGUCUGCAGGAGGGCCAGGUUGCAACCCGAGGAGAGGUUUGAGCGGACGAUAAUGAAUGCAGAGAAGAUGUUUGAUCAAAUGCGUCAAAGAGGAAUUGAGCCAGAUGUUACUAGUUUCUCCAUUGUCCUUCAUGUAUAUAGCAGGGGACAUAAGCCGCAGUUGACGCUUGAUAAGUUGAAGUUGAUGAAAGAGAAGGGUAUAUCUCCCACGGUGGCAACAUAUACAUCUGCUAUUAAGUGUCUUUGUUCUUGCGGGAGGCUCGAGGAUGCGGAGGAAUUGCUUGAGGAAAUGGUGAGGAAUGGUGUCAGUCCUUCCCCGACGACUUACAAUUGCUUUUUCAAGGAAUACAGGGGAAGGAAAGACGUCCAUGGUGCUUUGAACUUGUAUAGGAAAUUAAAAGAAGACACCUUGUGUGUGCCAAGCUUGCAGACGUACAAUAUAUUGUUAGGUAUGUUAAUGAAGUUGGAUAGAAUGAAGGCUAUAGAAGAGAUAUGGGGUGAUAUGAAAGUGAGUGGCACAGGACCGGAUUUGGAUUCCUAUACCUUGUUGAUUCACGGGUUAUGUGAGAGGCAGAGGUGGAGAGAGGCUUGCCAGUACUUUGUAGAGAUGAUUGAGAGGGGUUUUCUACCCCAAAAAGUUACUUUUGAGACACUAUAUAGAGGCUUGAUACAAUCUGACAUGUUGAGAACCUGGAGGAGAUUGAAGAAGAAGCUUGAUGAAGAAUCAAUAACUUUCGGCUCAGAGUUUAAAAACUACCCCUUCCAGCCAUAUAGGAGAUGAAAAUUAUGCUUCUUUACAUAUCCACUUCAUGAAUGCUACUUGUUUUGACUCAUUCAAUUCAAUAGCCUAGCUUCUUCUGAUGUCCAGGUGAAUGGGUGAGGACGAGACUUCAACAAUUCAGUGAUUCAGCGACAGAACUUAUUGAUUUAUGAUUUCUACCAGCUACCAAUAUGCCAUCUCAUUCAGUCGAAGGAGAUCCAUCCAGUGUGGAAGCUUACAUGCGCUGUAUGGCCUUCAAAAAACCUUGUGGUCGAAAUGACUCAACCUUAGCAGACUGCUGGUACAACUCCACUUUAACUCUAGCCUCAAAAUGUUUCCUUCCAAGCAUUCAAUGGUUAUCUGCACUUACAUUUCAACAAUUAUUGAAAUUGAGACAUCUUCAGCCUCCUUGAAGGUAGUUUUAGAAGAAAAACGGCAAAUGAGUAGAAUGCUUAAGGAGCAGUUUCAAAAGGUCCAAACUAGAGGUAAGCAAUAUGCCGAUAAACACUGAGUUUAAUGUAGGGUGAGCUGGUGUUGCCCAAACUUCAACCCUACAGGCUGCUCAUUGGCUGUGAGCUCAAGCCCUCUCCUAAAUUCAAUGAACUGUUUGAAGUGGUAAAGAAGACUGGGGAUAUGGCAUACCGGUUGCUGCUGCCUAAGGAAUCUCAAGUUCAUCCAGUGUUUCCUGUUUUUCUCUUAAAGAAGUAUGUGGCAAGAAAACAUAUUAUUCUAAAGGCUUACUAAGUGUCAGUGAGGAGGAGCAAUUCAACGUUGAAUCCUUGAAUAUCUUACAACUCCGGAAGGUCCACAGACAAAGUCAACUGGUUGAUCAAGUACUGGUGCAGUAGGUUUAUUUUGGACCAGAAGAACCAACUGGGAAGAUGUCAUAUUUCUUGGCAAAAGAAUGGUGCAAUAAGCAUGCCAUAAAGACCCACAUAUUUUAUUAUUUCAUAUAUAGGCGCACAUAUAUACAAUAAACAUUUCAUAUCGUGCUCCAUAAUGAUCAGACUGUACAACUAUAUUCAAUAAUAAUAAUGCAGUCCAAUUGGAUUAAUAGAUGUUUUGAAGAUUACUUUAGUUUGAGUAAAUAAUCAUGCCAAUUCUCUAUCCUGCUUACACGACUAAUCAUUUUAGAGUAAAUAUUUAUAUUUGUUAUAAAACAUCAUAUAGGGUGUAAAAACCCAUAGAAUAUCCAUGAUUUCAUUCCAUUUUCGCAAGAAAAAAUGCAGAGAAAAUCUAUUAAUUUUUUUUCCUGUCAAUUUACCAACUUUUUCUCCUUUAAAAGGAAUCUCCACCCUUACACUGCUUAAACCUUUUCCUUUUCUUCUCUCCAUUUAACCUUGUACGCAUCGAGGAGACAGGACAUGUCUUAGCUGUGCUCAAUGAUUUUGUUGUAAGCAUCUGGUUUCCUGCACAUGUACUGGCUAUGGCUUUUUUACAACUAAUUGAUGAGGUCAAUGUUUUUUAAUAGUGAAAAGAGGUAGUAUUGGCUUAUAUACUGCCAAUUUAAACCCAUAAAAUAUAAGCUAUUUUGUUUUGUGGGAAGAGUUAAUGCUUGUUGACUAAGCAACCAUUUUGAUUUCUAAUAAUUCUGCAAUUCUUUUUGGUAUUCUCUUAUAGUUGGGAGAGGCUUAUUGUGAAGGAAGAUCAGUGAGGUUUCUGCUGUGUUAAUUUGGGUCCAGCCAUGAAGUUGAAAACCAUAUGUUUCUGUAUUCCUGCGGGGAAAAAAGCAAAGGGAGAGGAGAAGGAGGAGGAGGAGUCAGAAAAUUCUUCCAGCAGUGAAAAAUCCCAGAAGAAAUCUGAUAAAAGCAAACAACGCGUUGCUGAAAAUGAUAAUGUAGGAGCCAACCAAGGGACUGCCAUGAGUACUACUGCCACCAAUGAUGCACCCAUGGUCGCAGCUGCAGUGGUAGGCACAGCUGCUGUUGUGGCUGCCAUGGAGGGAACUGGCGGCGGCGGUGAUGGUGGUGACAACGGUGGUGAUGGUUGAUGAGUGUUAUUGAAAUUCAAUUGGUUGAUUUUACUCUUUUUUGCUUUGGCUAUAUAAUUCAUUUUCAGUCUUUCAGUUGUCCAUUUGGAAUCACUUUCAUCUGUUUUGCUUGCCACUUUCUCUUCUGUUAUGAUCUUUCUGUUGGACAAUUUUAAAUUUUCAUGGUGAAAAUCUGUAAUCUGCAUAUGUCAAUCCUGCAGAUUACCUGCCUUUUCUUUUUUCAUAAUUCAUUGUGUUGUUAUUAAAGUAAUUCUUUGAAAAAAAAAAAAGGCCGGUUUAAAUUAUAGUUGCUUGUAUGUGAUUGAGCUUAUUAUCGUAGUUAUAAUCAAGUACUAUCAUAAUAUAUGUCUAUAAAACGACGACGUUUCAUUUAGCCUACCAUACCCCAACGUUUUUCCCGGAUAAUCCGCUCCCAUUUUCGAUGCCACACUUGGGAGUCGUAACUCCAUUCCUGGUUCUCUCACGGCUACGUACUAUCAAUCAAUCCAUCGAUGCAGACCGACUAUUUGCAGAAAGCAUGGCGGCGACGGCCACCCGGGACCCGAACUUGCGGUGGGGACAACUGGGGGAAGACGACACUCUAGACCUGGACUUUCAGCCGUCACCGGAGCAGGUAAUAGGCCCAGAUGAGAACGGCAUAACCCUAGCUCUUCCGUGCCCUAGUUCUCUCCAUUAAUCCAUCAAUUAAGAGCGAAGGUUCGCAGAAAUCAUGGAGGAGGACGUAAAGAAUGGGAGAGAUGGAGGAGGACGAGGCGAAACAAGACUUCCUGCUGCCACCGAAGCAGGAAAUAGGGCGACACUGUAACGGCGUAAAGAAUGUGAUAGAGUACAGAUUCUACGGCAAAGGCGAGGAGGUUAAGUGUAUCACCACUACUUGUACUCAUAUCUGCAUUUUUUUCCUUUUUUUUUUCUUUUGUAACGUUAAAAUAGGAAAUUUUUUCUAUAAAGGCCAAUAGUUGAGAGACCUAGCCUGAGCCAAACUCUCAGAUUUAAGUGAAUUCCAAACCAAAUUAACUUUGAAGGAAGGAAAUUUCCUUCUAAUUAUACUACUACUACUACUUAUUUAAGCGUAAAACUCUUAUUAAUAAAUUAUAUUUCCUUUCUCUAAUCUUACCAUAUACGAAUUCUGCGGGUAGUCUCUUUUUACGCUCAUUACCCUACCCAAAGAAGACAAAAAAGAGCAUGGCCCCUCAAAACUAACAAUCAUGGAGGAAGUCUUGAGGAAGGAACGCUAUUCAGAAGAUGAAAUUGGUGCCAUCGUGACUCUUGCUAUUCUCAAGCGUACAAAAUUGGAUAGUCUAACUCUUUCUGCUCUUGAUGAACAUAAAACCAAAUAUUUGGAAGCCAUUAGAAAAAAUAUUACCAGGCGAAUCCUGCAAAUAACCAAUGAGAAGAUAACCCCAGAAGCCACCACCAGCCCUGCAAAUAACAUCAUUCUGGGAAACCAACAGUCCCCAGCAGGCGAAUCCUCCUCUUCCUCCUCGGUUGACGGGUAUAUCCCGCCUGAUAUUCCCCCUGUACCCAGCCUGCAUGGCUUCAUUAGAAUAUGCAGCAGGCCCUUUCAGAAGCAGUUGACAGAGACUGAUGUGAAGGAUAGUCAAAACAGGCUGUCAAUGAAGAAGAUGCAUGUGGAAGAAUUGCUGAAGCCACUGUUGGGACCUGAGGAGGACCUUGUUAAGGGCAUCCCUGUUACCACAUUUGAUUAUAGGGGCACUGCCUACCCAAUGGUGUUUAAGAUUUGGGUGUCCAAGAUUUAUGUUCUGAUCAAUGGGUGGAAAAGGUUCCAAAAUGAUCAUGGCCUGAGGAAGAAUGAGGAUUUUGUUACAAUUUGGAUGUUUAGGCAUGACGUGAUGGGGAACCUGUGUUUUGUGAUCAUUGCAAGGAGGUUACCCGGGGCUCAGCCGCUGAAGAUCAAGAGGACAAAACAUAAUCAUUUAAGCAAUAGCAACAAUGAGGUCGCUUGAUGGUGGCAAGGUCAAAUAGUAUUGGUAGUCCUGUUAAGUGUAUAUCCCAUUAGUUUCGAGUAGUAUAUUUGGAAUAUAGGAAUUCUUUCUCCAUUGGAGUUUUAAGUUAUUUAAAUUCUAUUUUUCUGAAAGAAUUAAAAAUAUUCUUGAUAGUUGGUGAAUAAGAAAUAGGAAUUAUAUUCUUUAAAGUUUAGCACAGAUGCUUCCAAAACCCGAAUUUUAAAUCAAGUUAUCACAUUUAUUUUCUCAUUUAAGUCUUUGAAUGAGAUAAAGUCUUUAAACAUCAUUGUUUUUGGUAGAAGAUUGUAACAUCUAGAAAGAGUAUAGCAUCUGUCAUCUUGUUUAAUUGGAACUAAUAGAGUGAGAAAUCCAUCUAUGUGAAUGCCUCCACGUCUAUUAGAAUGCGUUUAAUCAAUGUUCAACUUAAGAACAACUAAGUAGCCCUAAAUCCAAUAGGAAGUAGUUUUGAUUCAAUAGAAGCCAGUCUUAUGGCUGCUUCCUUAUUGUUUGCUUGAUCCUGUGUAACUAUGUGAUAUCUUUAAGUGCAACCUGUAGAGUAAUCAGGUACCAAGUUUAUUUGUGCCUGCACAGUUGAUUUCCUGCUUGGUUUAUCAUAAUUUCCUUUCGUUGAGUUUUUGGUGUCUAAUAUCACAAAUAAGAAGCACUGAACAGCUCUGACACCAAAUGUUCCUCAACCAAACUCACUUGUUCAGCCACCAUUUUGAUGAUAGUCUAGUGCCAGUGGUAUGUGAUUAGUAUUUUAAAGCUGGAGUUUCUAAGUUCAGUUAUUUUCUGAGUUUUUGUCUGAAAAUUCAAGUUUUCAUGUGCCUUUUCUAUAUAGCAUCUUGUCUGGUGAUUUAUUAUUUGAACCCUAAUACUUGGUGAAAAUUCUAGUGAGAGACUAAUUGCAAGAGUGGUUAUUAUAGCUCAAACAGAAAUAUUUCACAGCAGAAGGAUACUACAAUAAUCAUGCCAUAAGAAGCACUCACACUAAUAGCUCCAUCUCUCCUUAUUACGAAAAAUAAUUCAUAUGUACAAAUAGAGGACAUCAAGAGAUCAACUUGAUUGUCCCUCUAAAUUCUUGAAUUUGGUGGCCUCCUUGUUGUUGAACUGCAUAUUUUAUUUUUUUGUCCAUAUUAUAUAUUUUUUUUUUAUUUUAUAUAAUAAACUAUAUUGCUUGCUUCGAGUGAAUUAAAAAUUGUAUCCAUGGUAAUUCCAUAAUAAUUUGACUUAGAAUUUUAUUCAAUAAUAAUAUUGUGUAUAAUUGAAUGAAGUAUAUGUUCUCAAGAUUACUUUAGUUUGAUAAUUGAUCGGGCCAAUUCUCUAAUCAUGUUCACACAACUAAUUGUUCUAGAGUUAGCAUCUACUUCUGUUAUAAACAUUUUACACAACGGCCUGUGCCCUUGAUGUUAGCUACUAAACUUCAUUUUGUCUAAGAUGUGAAAACUCAUAGAAUAUAUCAUCCUUCAAUUCACCCAUGCAUGCCUUUGGAAAAUCUAUAAAAAUUUAUCACUCAUUUUUUUCCCUCCAUUUACCAACUUUAAUUUUUUUAAAAAAGUAUCUCUGCCUUUACAUUGCUUAAAACUUUUUCAAUUUCUCAUCAUUUAACUUCGUACGUAUUGACCAGACAGGACAUGUCUUAGCUGUGCUCAAUGAUUUUGUUGUAACAUAAAUUUUUCUUGCACAUGUACUGGCACUGGCUUUUUGCAACUAGUCGAUGAUGCUGACAUAUUUUGUUAGUGAAUAUAAAAUAUGUUGGCUUAUAACUAAUGAUUUAAACUCAUGAGAUAGAAGGCCGUGUUUGGAGAAGUUAGUGGUUAUUGGAUAGACAACCAUUUCAGUUCGUAAAGGUUGUGGAACAUUUUUCGUGUUCUCUUAUAGUGGGGAGAAGCUGAUUUGAAGGAAGAUCAGAAGGUUGGUUUUCCACUACUGGUAAUUUGGUUUUCAGCCAUGAAGUGGAAAAGCAUAUGUUUCUGUAGUCCUGCAGGGAAACAAGCGAAAGGAGAGGAGAAUGAAUCAGAAAAAUCUUCUAGAAGUGAAAAGGGCUCCAAGAAAUCUGAUAAAAGUAAGGAACAUGUUGCUGAAGAUGACACCAUGGGGAGCCCCGCAGAGGACCGCCACUAGUGCUACUGCCACCAAUGAUGCUGGCUUGGCUGCACUUGCUGUGGCAGCAUAAGCCACCUGUCUGUCUACUAUGGAUUGAAAUGUUGGGGGUGGUGGUGGUGGUGGUGGUGGUGGUGGUGGUGGCGGCGGUUGAUUGGGUGUUGUAUUAAAAGUGAAUUGGUUGGUCUUGCUUUUAUUUUCUCUGGCUGUGUAAGUUUCUUUGCAUUUCAGUUGUUCAAUUGACUUUGUUUCUGGUGUAUGCAAUGAGAUAGGGAGAUCACUUUGACCUAUUUUCUUUGCAAGCUCUCUCUUAUGGUGUGAUUUUUGGUAUGAAAUGUGGGUUUUCUUGUCUGGAAAAUCUGGUAAGCUGGGUCAUGUCAACCAAGGUUCAGUGCAUUUUCUGAUAAAUGUUCACUUGAUGUGUUGGCAAUGUGUGCAAUAGAGAGUACGUGCAUUUGGAUUCUUCAUUUUCUAGGUUUUGUUUUUUGGAAUUUAUACAUACACAAUUAUUUUGAACUGUGAAAAAGAAUUCAUUUAUGCACUCCUUUAUUCCUUGGCUACUUGGUUUCCAUUUCUUACCCACAAGCUCGAGCUCUAUACAUAUAUGAUUUCUUUUGUUGUAAUGCCUGUUUACUUCAGGUACUGAGAGCAUUUUUUCCCCUCUAAUCAACAAUAUAACCAAUAGGUCUUAGCUUGGACAACCCAGAGGCUAAUUCAGCCUUUAAGUUUCAGUUUUCUCUUGGUUUUCAUGUGUUUUUUAGAUAUGAUCUUAUAAUGAAUGUUGACUUGAGUUUUAUUUGAGUUGUGAAAUUAUGUUUUGAACUUAAUGCAGGGUUCCACAAUAGUGAGACAAACAGUAUUUUACUUCAGAUUUUCUGAUAAUCAUAUCUUCUUUUAGAUAAGAUCUUGUAUGAAAGCUUACUAGACUACUGACUUUGUCUUGGGUAUGAGAUUCUUUUGCAGUCUUUAAUUUUUUUUUUUUCUUAGUUAUUUGGUCACUUUAUUUUACACUGGCACUAAAUUCUUCAAAUGUCUUCUUUUCCGGCAUGCGCUCGUUAUAUGCAAUCCUUUGUUUGGUUAGCUGUAUAAAUUUGUUAUUAUCUGCCAAUGAUGCCUCAAUCAGAUCAAAUAUAAAAAUAGAAUCUGUACAUUUUAAUAGAACUGAAAAGAUGAGAUUUUGCUGAUGGUUGUGACCAAUUUGGCAUUUGUCAUAUAUAGUAUCAUGAAUCCUUUUGUACCCCCCACAAUAUAAAUACCUGUCGGGCAAUUUGGAGGUACUGUUUGAGUUAUUCACUUUUAAUAUUAUAAAAAAAAAAAAAAAAAAAAGGUGAAUCCCUGUAAUAUAAUAUAUUGUCUUUAUAAAAUAAAAACCACUUUUCCAUGACAACCCAAAGGAACCAAAUACGACGACGCUUCAUUCGGUGGAAAAAUGUCCAGCAAAAGCAAGGUAAUGUGGCGCUGAUGACAAUUAGAGCCGAUUAUACGACGCCGUUUCCUCUAUCUUCCUCCUGUAUUCGAUGGAACGCCCGGAGUCGCGAAACCCAAACCCAACUCGCCUGUGCCACUCGCUAUCAAUCUGUCAAUCGGAACCGUUGUUGGCAGAAAGCAUGGCCCCGGCGGCGACCCUGCAGAGGGAGAAGCUGGAGGAGGACGACACAGAAGACCUAGACUAUCUGCUGCCAACCAAAGCAGGAGAUAGGUCCAGAUGAGAACGGCAUGAAAAGGUGGUAACAUACAGGUUCAACGAAGAUGGUAACAGGUUAAGGUCAUCACCACCACCCGCACCCGCAAGCGCGUCAGGCUCGCCUCGGAAAGAGCGCCGUUGAACGCCGGUCCUGGCCCAAGUUCGGUGACGCUGUCCGGGAGGACGUAGGUAGUAAUCUGACCAUGGUAUCCACUGAUGAAGUCCUCCUCGAGCGCCCCAGAGUCCCCGGUCUGGUCCUCCCUCCUUAGUCUUCCAUUCUUGUGGGUCUCCUUUUACUAUCAUGAAUUUAGCUUACCGGGUCAUAACUCGUGAGAAAGUUUUUGUCCUUGACACUGAUUAAUUUAUGGAAGCUUUCAGUGAAACUAAUGAACAUGUAGAGAGUGAAAGGAAAUCUGCUUAACGCAAGGCCCUUGGUUUAGUAUUUGCUUUCCUCUCAUUCCAUUUUGUGUUAUUGGAAAGUAAACUAGAUAAAGAAUGAUAUUUAGCUUUGGUUUGAGCAUCGUUGCUAUUAAUCAUUUUUUUCUUUUAUUACCAAUGUUAGGUUAAAUAUAAAGUUCAGGACAAAUUGUGGUUUCAACCAUUGUAAUUUGGUCUUGUUGCCACAUAAAUCCUGUGAUUUUCUUAUCAAUGUUAUGCAAUUUUUUUGGGCUUUCCCUUGAGAUAAAAAGUAUAUAUUCAUAAUGCUUCAUCACUGAAUUUCACUGCUAUAUUUCUUUUCGUGAUUUGUUGUCCAUGAAAAACUCAAUGUGCUCUUCAAUGUUUUUUGCAGUUGAUCACAGAAAUUACUUUUCUCGGUGAUUUUGAACGAAUGGAGAAUGAAUUUCAAUGAUUUUUUUAGACAUAAGUUUAACAUUCGACCUGGAAAUGAUUUUCUUGUGCGGUUUUCUUGUGUGUAUACAUGCUUGAACAAAUGGUGGAUGCAUGAUAACUUCUGGUUUGGCUUUGUAGAAAUUUUCUAGUUCUUUACCGUCUCAAUGUUUACUAUUAUUUCAGGUAGGAAACCUUUGUCUCAAGGGCUUGAAUUAUGUAUAUAAUAUCAACUAAUAUCCAUUUAGCCUCAGCUUGCGGAACCUUGUGCCGCCUUAUUUUUCUUAUGCCUUAUUUUUCUUAUGAUCAUCACAGUUAUUAUUAACUAGUGGCUUUUGAAACAGGUAGCAAACCUGAAGAAGCCAAAGUUGCUGGAGAUUCCUUGGCCCAACUGGGGAAAGGUGGUGCAGUUCUUAUGGUAUGUUUGACUUGUGAUAAGAAUGAGGAUCAUUGGACAUCCAGGUGCCCUUACAAGGAUCUUGCUCUACAGGCUGAGGGUUUUGUUGAUAAACCCGAUGUGUCAGAAUCCACAGAUGCAUCUGGCGCAAGCAAGGGAACAUAUAUUCCUCCAGGACAAAGAGCUGGAGCCGAGAGAACUCAAACUGCUAUGAGACACUAUGAACAAUAAAAACUCCAUUAGGGUCGCAAACCUCUCAGAGAACACCCGGGAACCUGAUCUACUGGAGCUGUUCCAUCCGUUGGGUGCUGUAAGUUACGUUUAUAUUGCGGUUGAUCAGUGGACUGGCAUGACCAGAGGUUUUGGCUGCACAAAACAAGGAAGAUGCUCAAAGAGCUAUCAACAAACUGAAUGGGUAUGGUUGUGAAAAUCUCAUUCUGAGAAUGGAAUGGGCACAGUGAGGACAAAUUAACUAACUUGCGCAUUUGAUCCCAUGUUUGCUGCGGAAAUCCGAAGAUUUUCAACCUUAUCACGCUAGUUUCAGUUAACUUUUACUAUGGAUCAUCAGUUAUCGCCUGUUGAUAUUAGUAUAAAUCCAAGGACUGUUUGCUGUUAGUGAAGGAAAAAAACAGAGUUGAUGGUGAUUGUUGUAUCUGUUUUGCAUCAAGAGCGGCAUUUUUUUGUUAUUUUACAUAUAAAAAAAAACUAUCGAAU